rnacentral:rRNA from 1 species
GUAGUCAUAUGCUUGUCUCAAAGAUUAAGCCAUGCAUGUCUAAGUAUAAGCAAUUAUACGGCGAAACUGCGAAUGGCCCAUUAUAUAAGUUAUCGUUUAUUUGAUAGCACCUUACUACUUGGAUAACCGUGGUAAUUCUAGAGCUAAUACAUGCUAAAAAUCCCGACUUCGGAAGGGAUGUAUUUAUUAGAUUAAAAACCAAUGCCCUCUGGGCUCUCUGGUGAUUCAUGAUAACUUCUCGAAUCGCAUGGCCUUGCGCCGGCGAUGGUUCAUUCAAAUCUCUUCCCUAUCAACUUUCGAUGUUUGGGUAGUGGCCAAACAUGGUUGCAACGGGUAACGGAGGGUUAGGGCUCGACCCCGGAGAAGGAGCCUGAGAAACGGCUACUACAUCCAAGGAAGGCAGCAGGCGCGCAAAUUACCCAAUCCCGACACGGGGAGGUAGUGACAAUAAAUACUGAUACAGGGCUCUUUUGGGUCUUGUAAUUGGAAUGAGUACAAUUUAAAUCCCUUAACGAGGAACAAUUGGAGGGCAAGUCUGGUGCCAGCAGCCGCGGUAAUUCCAGCUCCAAUAGCGUAUAUUAAAGUUGUUGUGGUUAAAAAGCUCGUAGUUGAACCUUGGGCCUGGCUGGCCGGUCCGCCUCACCGCGUGCACUGGUCCGGCCGGGCCUUUCCCUCUGUGGAACCCCAUGCCCUUCACUGGGUGUGGCGGGGAAACAGGACUUUUACUUUGAAAAAAUUAGAGUGCUCCAGGCAGGCCUAUGCUCGAAUACAUUAGCAUGGAAUAAUGAAAUAGGACGUGCGGUUCUAUUUUGUUGGUUUCUAGGACCGCCGUAAUGAUUAAUAGGGACAGUCGGGGGCAUCAGUAUUCAAUUGUCAGAGGUGAAAUUCUUGGAUUUAUUGAAGACUAACUACUGCGAAAGCAUUUGCCAAGGAUGUUUUCAUUAAUCAAGAACGAAAGUUAGGGGAUCGAAGACGAUCAGAUACCGUCGUAGUCUUAACCAUAAACUAUGCCGACUAGGGAUCGGACGAUGUUAUUUUUUGACUCGUUCGGCACCUUACGAGAAAUCAAAGUGCUUGGGCUCCAGGGGGAGUAUGGUCGCAAGGCUGAAACUUAAAGGAAUUGACGGAAGA